ensembl:lncRNA
CAAAGGAAUUGUCUGUAGAGCUCAGAGACAGGAUUGUGUCGAGGCACUGAUCUGGGGAAGGGUACAAACAUUUCUGCAGCAUUGAACAUCCCCAAGAACACAGUUGCCUCCAUCAUUCUUAAAUGGAAGAAGUUUGGAACCACCAAGACUUCCUAGAGCUGGCCACCUGGCCAAACUGAGCAUUUGGUGGAGAAGGUCCUUGGUCAGUGAGAUGACCAAUAACCUGAUGGUCACUCUGACACAGCUCCAGAGUUCCUCUGUGGAGAUGGGAGAACCUUCCAGCGGGACAACCAACUCUGCAGCACUCCACAAAUUAGGACUAUAUGGUAGAGAGGCUUGAUGGAAGCCAUUCCUCAGUAAAAGGCACAUGACAGCCUACUUGGAGUUUGCCAAAAGGCACCUAAAGGACUUUCAGACCAUGAGAAACCAGAUUCUCUGGUCUGACGAAACCAAUAUUUUACUCUUUGGCCUGAAUGCCAAGCUUCAUGUCUGGAGGAAACCUGAAGCAUGGUGGUGGCAGCAUUAUUUUGUUGGGAUGUUUUUCAGCGGCAGGGACUGGUAGACAAGUCAUGAUUGAGGGAAUGAUUAACGGAGCAAAGUACAGAAAGAUCAUUGAUGAAAACCUGCUCCAGAGCUCUCAGGACCUCAGACUAGGGUGAAGGUUCACCUUCCAACAGGACAACGACCCUAAGCACACAGCCAAGACAAUGCAGGAGUGGCUUCAGGACAAGUGUCUGAAUGUCCUUGAGUGGUCCAGCCAGAGCCUGGACUUGAACCUGAUUGAACAUCUUCAGGAGAUACCUGAAAAUAGCUGUGCAGUAACACUCCCCAUCCAACCUGACAGAGCUUGAGAGGAUCUGCAGAGAAGAAUGGGAGAAACUCUCCAAAUACAGAGGACCUGAGCCCUAGGACCAUGCCCCAGGAUUACCUGACAUGAUGACUCCUUGCUGUCCCCAGUCCACCUGGCCGUGCUGCUGCUCCAGUUUCAACUGUUCUGCCUUCUUAUUAUUCGAACAUGCUGAUCAUUUAUGAACAUUUGAACAUCUUGGCCAUGUUCUGUUAUAAUCUCCACCCGGCACAGCCAGAAGAGGACUGGCC